rnacentral:rRNA from 1 species
UCUACUGGUCAUAUCACCUGAAUGUGCCCAAUCCUUGUCUGAUCUCAGAAGCCAAGCAGGGUCAGACUGGGUUAGUACUUGGAUGGGAGAAGUGAUUUGUUAGAAUAAGAUGCUGGUGUGA